GAUGAAGAACGUAGCGAAAUGCGAUAAGUAGUGUGAAUUGCAGAAUUCAGUGAAUCAUCGAAUCUUUGAACGCACAUUGCGCCCCUUGGUAUUCCAUGGGGCAUGCCUGUUCGAGCGUCAUUUGUACCUUCAAGCUUUGCUUGGUGUUGGGUGUUUGUCCUGAGGGACUCGCCUUAAAGUAAUUGGCAGCCAGUGUUUGGUUUUGAAGCGCAGCACAAGUCGCGAUUCAAGGCUACACACCAGCUUCCACAAGCCUUUUUCACUUUUGACCUCGGAUCAGGUAGGGAUACCCGCUGAACUUAAGCAUAUCAAUAAGCGGAGGA
rnacentral:misc_RNA from 1 species